rnacentral:rRNA from 1 species
CCUACGGGAGGCAGCAGUAGGGAAUCUUCCGCAAUGGACGAAAGUCUGACGGAGCAACGCCGCGUGAACGAUGAAGGCCUUCGGGUCGUAAAGUUCUGUUGUUAGGGAAGAACAAGUGCUAGUUAAAUAAGCUGGCACCUUGACGGUACCUAACCAGAAAGCCACGGCUAACUACGUGCCAGCAGCCGCGGUAAUACGUAGGUGGCAAGCGUUGUCCGGAAUUAUUGGGCGUAAAGCGCGCGCAGGCGGUUUCUUAAGUCUGAUGUGAAAGCCCCCGGCUCAACCGGGGAGGGUCAUUGGAAACUGGGAAACUUGAGUGCAGAAGAGGAAAGUGGAAUUCCAAGUGUAGCGGUGAAAUGCGUAGAGAUUUGGAGGAACACCAGUGGCGAAGGCGACUUUCUGGUCUGUAACUGACGCUGAGGCGCGAAAGCGUGGGGAGCAAACAGGAUUAGAUACCCUGGUAGUCCACGCUGUAAACGAUGAGUGCUAAGUGUUAGAGGGUUUCCGCCCUUUAGUGCUGAAGUUAACGCAUUAAGCACUCCGCCUGGGGAGUACGGUCGCAAGACUGAAACUCAAAGGAAUUGACG